GGAUGUGAGGGCCAUCUGGCUGUGACAUCUGUCACCCCAUUGAUCGCCAGGGUUGAUUCUGCUGAUCUGGCUGGCUAGGCGGUUGUCCCCUUCCUCCCUCACCGCUCCAUGCGUGUCCUUCCCGAAGCUGAGCACUUGGAAAGCCUUCCCCAAAUAGAGACUGACCUGUCUUUGAUCUAGGGUAUAGGAGUAGCUGCGCUCCCCUGCUAGAACCUCCAAACAAGCUCUCAAGGAAUCUGUGGGAGUGAUAUUUUAAAAGUCCUUUAAUAAUGAUUUAUAGAAUUUGGACUUUAUCCUAU
rnacentral:snRNA from 1 species